rnacentral:rRNA from 1 species
CGGGGUGAGUAAUGUCUGGGAAACUGCCUGAUGGAGGGGGAUAACUGCUGGAAACGGUAGCUAAUACCGCAUAACGUCGCAAGACCAAAGAGGGGGACCUUCGGGCCUCUUGCCAUCGGAUGUGCCCAGAUGGGAUUAGCUAGUAGGUGGGGUAACGGCUCACCUAGGCGGCGAUCCCUAGCUGGUCUGAGAGGAUGGCCAGCCACACUGGAACUGAGACACGGUCCAG